AUAGUAUCGAUGGAGCGAGUGUGGUUUACCGGCAUAUCGAUUGAGUGAUAAACUUUAAGGGUACCAAGUGAUUUGCAUGGUUACUUCACACCUCGUUUUUUGAUCCUCGGUAUCCCAGUCACAAAACUUGGAGGGCACACUCGAGAUUGAAACAUGCCUUUGAAAAGUUCAUUGAAUCUCAAAGAAUCUAGGAAUUUCUAAGAACCAUUCAAAAACCUAAUACUAAAAUAUUGCGGUUUUCGUGGUGGAAAUUGGUGAAUCGUCAUUCACCUACCUUUCAAAUAUGAUAUAGCUUAGAUUACGGCAUACCUCUUCUAAGUUAUAAUAUAUUGUGAUUGGAUCCUAGCCUUAAUAUUACAUUUGGGUGUUUUAUUAAGGAAUCUCUUAAUAUCGAAACUAAUCUUGUUCUCUUUUUUCAGAUGUCUUCAAACAAUGCUGCUUCUGACUUUAAUCCUAAUGGCUCCUUUACUCGUAUGAACUUAUGUGGGAAAGUCACCUUUGAUGGAUCCAACUUCAAUGAGUGGAUCAGAAACAUCAGGAUGAUUACCCGCUACGAGGACAAAGAAUAUGUCCUUGAUAAGGAGCUUAAGGAGAUUGAUGAGUCAACUGCAACUCCUCAGGAGAUCGCUGAAUUUCGGGCACAUGAAAGGGAUGCUACGAAAGUGGCUUGCAUCAUGAUGGCCACGAUGACAGCGGAACUCCAAAAGUCUUAUGAGGAUUUCUACCCUUAUGAAAUGCACCAAGAUUUGAUGGAAAGAUACCAUCAAAGUGCAAGACAAGAGAGGUAUGAAAUCAUCUGCUCCAUGAUAACAACCAUGAUGAAGGACGGGGAAUCNCAUGCAGAAAAUGCAAAGGUAUGUGGAUCGGUUGUUGAAGCUUAAUGUGAACUUCUCUGAGGAGCUUGCAAUAGAUAUCAUUUGCACUCCUUACCAUCGUGCUAUGAUCAAUUCAGCAUGACAUAUCACAUGAAUAAGGAAGAGGUCACACUCAGCAAACUUCAAGGACUCCUCAAGACCGCAGAAACAGGUCUUAAAGGCAACUCGGUUGUUAAAACUCCUAAUCCAAACUCCGCCCCAGUUUUGGCAAUCGGGCAAGGUCGAGGGAAGAAGAGGAAGAGCUCUUCGAAGGGUACCAAGGCUAGGACCCUUGAUCAAUCGUCUUCAAAUGGAACCAAGAAAGGUUUCGUCACUCCUUCUUCUUACCCAAAAGAGGCUGAAUGCUUCUAUUACCAUGAAAAAUCACAUUGAAAAAUCACAUUGGAAGCAGAACUGCCCGACCCAGCAUGGUCCAUUUGGGUUGCAUGGCACCAUGCAUUUUGGAUAGACUAAAUGAGAGAAAUAACACUUGUGGUUCAUUAAUAUAUUAUAAGUUCUAAUAUAUUAAUAUUAUUAUUUAAUUAGUAUUGAUCAAGAAUUAAUUUGGAAUUAAUUAAGUGAUCAAAAGAUAACUAAUUAAAUAUAUGGGUUGAUUAUGUAAAUCAUCCAUAACUUGUAUAGUGGGCUAAGAGGCUCUAUGAAUUAUCAAGUUGGGUUAAACCCAUAGGAUGCUCCAUGGGAGUUACAAACCCAUGGGUCAUGCAACUGAAGAGUCAUGACACAUUAGGGUUUACAUGGUGUAACCCUAGAUGUGUCAACACUAUAUAAAUAACAUACUAUCCACCAAAAUCCGCUACACUAAGAAACAAGAGGGAUAGGCCGAUUUUAGAGUGUGUGCACUCUCUCUAAAGUCAUUCCAAAAGCAUUUGGUGUUGUGUGAAGCAUUUGAGGCAUCACAAUUGGGGUGCUAGGCUCACAAGGUUUCAACGAAUCAAAAUCAACUACAAGGUAUGUAUUUCUAGCUAUUCUUUUAGGAUUAAAGUUCCCAUGUAUGCUAGAUAGGAUUGUGAACCUUGGAAACCAACUUUUGCAUGUAUUUAGACAAACAUAGGUCUAAGGUUUAUUAGGGUUGCAUGUACACUUAGGAAGUGUUAGAAUGCUCAAAUCCCAUCAGUUUUCAGCAUGAGACUACGAGGGUGAAGUCUGAUUCUAGUGGGGGAGAAUUGUAACAUCCUGAAAUUCAGCUAAAGCUAUUUAACCCUUCCUUUUUGUCAAGUUGUUAAGAUUGGUCCCUCGAGUGAGUUCUUGUAGCAAAUGAGUACGUUGGGCGUACUGGGGAGUACUCUGCGCAUACUCAUGCGCUUAAUUUGGACGCGGACUCACCUGGGUACGUUGGGCGUACCCAGGGUUACGCUGGGUGUAACGGGUCCAGAUGCAAACCCUAAUAUUUGGCUUGUGCAUUAUAUAAGGGAUGCUAAGGCUCAUUUCUUAGCCUCCANAUAUCAGAGAUGAAACCCUAAAAGAGCCUUACUUCGUCCCUAAGUGUGUGUGAGAAUGUUUCGAGCUAAAAAGUGCCUUGGUGUGUUAGUGAAGAAGAAGGAGAGAAGCUUGUGGAGGCUAGGGCUUGAGGUGCAGGCUUGGAUCUGAGAUCUUCAGUGAAAGAAGCUUCAACUAGAGGUAUAAAGUUCAAAAUUUUCCCCUUUAUUUUGAUUUAGUGUUGCAUGGACCAUUUCUAGAGUUAAAAGUCCCAAAGGUGGAGACUUUAGGAGUGUAAUGGACUCUAUGGACCUAGGUCUGUCCCAUUUCAUUGAUAUUUGUGUUAUAGAUCCAUAAAAAUCCCAACUUGGUCGUUGUUAUGGGGUCAUGCUUGAGUUAUGAGCUUUGUAGGGUUGGAAAUGGGAUAUUAUGAGUGUUAGUGACUUGUCCAAGCAUGCAAAGGCUUAAAAUCACCAACUUUAUGGAUUAAGAGGCUUAAAAAUGGUCAGAUCUAGAAGUUGGACGUGUGUCUUAACUGUUUAAGACCUCAAGAGCUUAAGAGUCUAAAAUUAGGAGUUAGGCGUGGUGUAAUCCCAGUACGCGCGGCGUAAGGGUUCGCGCACCCCGUUUCUGUGAGGAUGCCGGGUACGCUCAGCGUACAUGUUUGGUACGCGCAGCGUAACCCAGAGAGUUGACUUUUGUUGACUUUUAGGGUUUGGUAAACUUUAGGGUCUUUGAGCCAUGAGAGGGGUAAAAUGGUCUUUUACCCUUCUGAGAGUACUAAGAGAGGGAAUAGUCUAGCCUUGAGAGAUGUAUUGAUUGAGAGUAUUUAUUUCAUAUGAUUAGGCAGAGGCUAGGCCAGAUUUUUACAGAGUUCGAGAUUACCGAGUUACCCGAGGUAAGUCUUCUCACUAUACUUUACCUAGACUGGUAAUUAGAGUUAUGUGACAAAGUAAUUGUAUGUUUUGCAUGAUGAGAUUUCUAUGUGAUUUAUUCUUUGUAUGUUACAGAGUUUACAGAGUUAGGACCGGAAGGUCCACAGAGUUAGGGUCAGAGGGCCCACGGAGUUUUGGGAUUGGAGGGUCCCACUGAGACACAUUGACCAGAGGGUCAAACAGAGUUAUAGCCUCGAGUGGCUAAUAUGUGUAGUGUGUGGUAUUUUGGGGAACUCACUAAGCAUUUAUGCUUACAGUGUUGUGUUAUGUGUUUCAGGUACCAGUGAGGAUCGCAGGAAGGCGCCGACAUCAUCUUGGGAUGUGUUGUUUUGGAUUGUUAUGUGAUACAAUGACAUUUUUAUAACAAUUAUGAAUGAAAGUUUGUUUUUAAAAUGUGAAAAAAUUAAUUGAAAAUUUGGGUGUUACACAUUGUUGCUUGUAAUACAUGUUUCAAAAUAAAUGACAUUAUGAUGAUAUAAUAAGUUUUGAAAUUGACGCCUUUGCGUCCUUUCCCCAAAAGCUGUUGUUUACAUGUAUUUCUGAAUCCCUGAGAAAUACAAGUAGUUUUGAAAAAGUGUCAACAAUGAAGUUGGUGAGUUCAUAAGCGUUUUUGUAUAAGAAUUGUAUGCCUUUGUGUAUAAAGUAACUGAGUUUGUUCCUAGAAAAUCCAAUAUUUUCCAUAAAUGAAUAGUAGUUUAAAAGUUCCAAAAACCGGAAUUCAUAAGUAUUUUCCAUAUCUAAAAUAGUGUAAGUAGAUUUAUAUAUGUAUAUAUAACCACUAAGGCAUUUGAUAUCCUUGUAAAUCAAAUGUUUUAAUACUUCAUGUGAGUUUUAUAACCAUACUAUUGACCCAGACUGCUUGUAACAACGUUCUUCAGGCGUUGGAAUGAUAUGAUGUUUGUCACCCCAGACCUGCCGGUCCAACUGUAGCUAACAAUUUAGGUGCGGGAUUGUCAAUCCCGUAUAGAUCUAAACACAAGUAUCACGCUCUCCCUACCGUAGAUUAUGGUUUAUAACACAUGACUUGAAAUGCGUACUUGAAAGUACGUGAAGCUAAAUGUCUCACAAAAGCUAGUAUCAAAUAGAUUUACGUAUGAAAAGUCCAUUUUUCUUGUAAAUGUAAGUAUUUCCUUUUUAUAGCGUUUAUAGAGUGUAAGAUAUCAUGAAUAUCUCAUAAACUAUACCUAUUAUAGUUUUUCAAAAGUGUGUUUCAUUUGAAUGAUAAACCUUGGUAUAUUACCAACUUUGCAUGUAAAGUAUAACAUUUGUAAUAACAUUAUUUUACUUACUUAACAUUUAUACACAAAAUGUAGAUAAAGCAUUAGAAACUGUAUGUAACCAUUUGAAUUUUAACAUAAGUUUUUCUUGCGUGUCACUUGUAUUUUUCCCCUUAAAAUAUAGUAAAAACGUGAAAAUAUAGGGGUAUGAACUCACCUGGUAAGUAGGAUGAUUUGAAGAAAACGAGACUUUUCUCGGGCAGCAUUUCGACCGGAAAGUGGAAAAUUUCUCGGGAGUUUCGGACCUUCGGACCUUCGUUAGAGCUUGGAUACGUAACCGGGGCGUCGGGAUAGUUUUGGGAGGCUCGAGAGUGAGAAAAUAUAGGGUUGGAACUGCCCUCGUACGUUGGGCGUACGUCAUGGAUGACGCCAUCAUCGGAUAUUGGACUUCGGAUGGGACGGGCUAGAGGUAGUAGGGAUAUGUGGUCGAUCCGAGGCCGCACACUGAGUACGCUGGGCGUACCCUUGUACGCCAUAGCGUACUCCCCUCGGUUUGUGUGCCCCAAUCUUCUAAAAUGCGUAACUUUCGCAUACGAGCUCCGUUUUUGACGUUCCUUAUAUCCACACGUAGGUGAGAAUAUAAUCUACAACUUUCACUUAGACUUUGUUGGCAAAUUUUGAAUUUAUUUUUAAUUAUAUAUUUUUAAUAGGCCGGGAUAGGAAAAGACCGUCAAAAAAUUCAUAACUUCUUCAUCCGAUGUCCGUUUUCGUCUGUCUUUUUACCGUUGUAUUACUAUUGUCGAGAUCUUCAAUUCUCGUUUAGGUUGUGUCGGCUAAAUAUCGCUGGAUCUUUAUUUCGAGUUUUUAGUAGUCUACUGCUAUUCCGAAACUUAGAAAAAUCAUAACUUCCUCAUAUGAAGUCAGAUUUGGAUGUUCUUUUUAUGUACAUUUAUGGUUUAACCUAAUCUAAGACUUUCGUUUAGAUUCCUAAGGCUAAAAAGAUUUUUAUUGAAAUUUCACUUUUCAUACUUAACAGUGUUUUACCGGUUUUGACGCGGUUCUUUGAUUGGUCAUAACUUCUUCGUUAUAACUCGAAUUUGAGUGUUCUUUAUAUUUCUGAGAACCUUGACAAAAUAUCUAUCAUUUUACGUAUCCCAGUUGAGACUUUUGAACAUUUCAUUUCUGACACUAUUUUUAUUUAUUUAUUUAUUCAAAAAUAGAUUGCAAUACUUGACUUGGGUCAUUGACUUGAAAUAUCGGGUUGUCACAAUUUUGAAGAACAAGAGGUUGGUAAGGGUUAAUGUGAGUAGUAAAAGAAUGACCGGAAGUACUUACAUGAAUUCUUGAUUCGUUACCAGCUAAAACAAAGGGAGAAAUAAAACUUUUAUCAUUAAUAGAAUUGAGAAUACCAGCAUUGGAAUGAAGAUAAGUGUGGUGUCGGUGUCCAUGUACCAUCCGUUGCUUGUGGUAUCAAUUAAUGAAAUAUAAUUAAACAUCUCUGGUAUUGGGUGGCCUGGUCAGUGGAGGAAGGUUGUUAUUGAAACCAUUCCCAAGGAGGAAGAACCUUGGAAUCAACAUGGAAGACUUGUUGGGUUGAUCCGGGUGAAGAGUAUUGACCUGGUUGUUGAACAAACCCAAAAAGAUGUUGGACAGAUUGUUGGCUUGGUGAUUGACGGGCUGAUUGUUGUUGUAUGGGCCUAGGAGUCCAACUGGUGGGCUACUACGAGAAUGAGCUGGAGAUGGGUCCAACAUUGAUUGGGCUUGGAAGCAGUCCAGGUGCUGAGUUUGAAGACUUAGAAGACGAGUUCAGAGGGUACCAUCCAUACCCCCAUCCAGCCGGAAUCUGCAUGGAAGGAUUGUUUCUGCCACCACCUCGACUGUUAUGACCACGUCCUCUGCCACCAAAACGACCGCCAUAGUUGAAACCACCUCGAUAGUUGUGAGAUGAAUUGCUGGAAUGCUCAAAAAUAAGCGCCACAGAAAACAAUGAGUUAUCGUUAUGUGGAUUUUGAUGACUUUGAAGCAAAUUCAUUCUUUGUUCUUCCACCAUGAGCUUUGAUCGUGUUUCCAAGAGAGUUGGAAGCAAGGAUGUGUGUCGAAUGAGAAGAGUAACGUGAUCAAAAUAAGAACUAAGACCGUUAAUGGUAUAUGUGACAAGAUUCUUUUCUGGAACAGCAGCAUCAAUAUUAUCGAGAAGAUCAGCAAUGGUUUUGAUCCUUGUACAGUAAUUCAUGAGACUCAGAGCGGUUCCCAUAGAGAUGUUAAGCUCAUUAUCUAACUGGAUGGCUCUAGAAUAUUUGUUGUCACGAAACAGGGCUUCAAGACUUUGCCACAUUUGCCAAGUUGUCACCUUCUUCUUGAGAAUCAUCGGAAUAAGUUAUUAGGAAAUCAUUUCGUCCAAUCACAUCUUCACAAAGGAAUCGAUAUAAUCCCAUUUAGUUUUGUCUGAACCAGUAGACACGUUUUCAUCAGGUUCAUCUAAGUGAUCGGAGACACUGUAACGACCCAAUUUUCACGUCCAAAAAUUCCAUUUUUGAUUACGUGACUUGCAAAACAUUUGUAACAAAAUAUCAACCGAUCAUAUCAUUUCAUAAAAACAUGUCUCGUGUCUGAAAACCAAAUCGUAAAAACAUAAUAAUGUCAGAGUACACAUCCCAGAAUAACUCAUAGUGUGGAAAGCAAUGUGUGUGUAUGAUGUGUCGCUACCGCGCCAGCUCCUUCCCCUUCGCUGAAAAGGUACCUGAAACCAAAACUGUAACUAUAAGCACGAAGCUUAGCGAGUUCCCCCAUCGUACCACAUACCAUACAAUCAUAUAGCGUACAUACUGUCGGGAAAUUCUGGGUUGCCCGACCAACCCGGUACGGCCAUCCUGGGGUGCUGACCUACCCGUACGGCCAUUCUGGGGUGUCGACCUACCCGUGUCAAGCCAUUCUGGGGUGCUAUGUCAAGCCAUUCUGGGGUGCUGACCUACCUGUGUCAAACCAUUCUGGGGUGCUGACCUACCCGUCGGUCCUAACAACUGACCCUCGGGGACUAUUCCACCCCUACUGCUACUAUCACAUAUAUCAUAACAUAAACAUACUAUCAGACAUAUCUGGAGUGUCUGAACUACCCUUCGGUCCUAACAACCGAACUUGGGGACUAUUCCCCUCCUACUACCGCUAUCACAUAUAACAUAUCAUGCCAGCAUAUAAACAUAUAAUCAUGUACUGUCAGACAUAUCUGGGGUGCUUGACCUACCCUUGGGCCCUAACAACCGAACUCUACUACUAUCAUAUAUAACAUAUCAUGCCAGCAUUAAACAUAUCAGGUAGAAGCAAUCCUAGAUGAUAUCACAAAGACAAUCAUCUAACAUACAACUCAACUGGUGGGCCGACAUUGUGGCCGUAGACCCACCGCUACUGGAAGGUAACUCACCUCGUAGUAGCUGCUGAUCUGUGCGAGAAUCCUCUGACUGAUGCCACUGCUGCUCCGGAAAUCCUCCGGCUAUAAUUCCCACAAUACACUUAGUCAUACAUUGCUAACUGUUCUUAGGGUAAAAUGACCAUUUUACCCCUGAGCAAGUCAAAGUCAAUGUCAACUUCCAGUUGACCUGACUUGCCGAGUUGGUUCGCCAACUCGUCGAGUCCCUAUCCUUCCAUUUGUCCUUAUACCCGUCUCUACUCGUCAAGUUAGGCGAUGACUCGACGAGUUUUCUUUCUAAUUGAACAUUGACUGAAUCUUCAUCCGACUCGCCAAGUUGUAUGAACAACUCGUCUAGUUCAUGUUCAACUGAUACACAUGUCCUAUCCUUGACUCGCCGAGUUGUAUGAACAACUCGUCGAGUUCAUCUUCAUCCUUAAGAAGAUUGCCUUGGACUCGUCGAGUCCCUUGAAUUUCCAGUACAAUGGCUUAGUCCAGAACGUUGGGUCGCUCCACAUGACUCCCUAAAACCUUUCCACACUCAACUGGGUCCUUUUGACCCUCAACUGAUAUGGUACAAAACCUUGGACUCCCCGAGUCCAAGAAUGGACUCGUCGAGUCGGCCACAUCCUCUCACUAAAUCUUCGAUUUCUGAUGCACAACCCUUGAUCAAAAGAUAGAUAUGUGCUUCUACAAUCGAUCUAGCGCUUAAAGUUACAACCUUUACGUGCUUGCAUGGGACUAUGAGCUCAAAAGGUCCUAAAACAAGCUUUUACAAUGCAUGGGGCCUUCUUUGAGUGCAAAAGCCACUCCUUUUUGCCUUGUAACCCAUUUAAGGACCUAGAUCUGAAACAUCAACCCCUAACCAUGCUUGCAAUCAUGGUUGGUGACCAAAAUGGCUUAGAAAAGCCCUAAAACUCCACAAAAGGGGAUCUAUCAAAAGAACAAACAAGGUAUAAACUUUAUACCUUCUAUAGACUGCAAUUGAUGCUCAAAAUCGGAUACUUCUAGCCUCCUCUUGAUCCUUCAAGCUUUUCCUUCCUUCCUUGGAUAACAAAAGCACCAAAAUCACUCCAAAUGCCUUAGAUUGCUUCAAUAACGGCUAGGGUUUGCUAUGGGGGUCUUCUGGGAGCAAAUGGGACAAAAGAGGUCGAGUUAAGGUGUUUAAAUAGGGUGCAAACCCUCGGGUUAGGGUUUUUGUCCAGACAGGGCCUACUAGCCGAGUCUGGGACCCAACUCGUCGAGUCCACUGCUUAAACCCCGCGUCUCAUCCCGCUUCUACUCGGCGAGUUGGUCCUUCAACUCGCCGAGUCCAAGGCCAAAAUGCAAAAUAUUUUAAAGAAUAUGCACCAAGAACCAGGUGCUAUAAAUCUUCCCCACUUAUUUUAGAUUUCAUCCUCGAAGUUUUCUGCUCAAUCUUGAAACAGCUCGGGGUAAUGCUCCAUCAUAUCGUCCACCGGCUCCCAAGUCCACUCCGACCCCUUCCGGUGCUGCCAUUGUACCUUCACGAUUUCCACUCUUUUGUUCCUUAAAUCGUUCGUCUUCUGGUCGAGGAUUACCAUCGGUCGCUCAAUGUAGUUUAGGCUGCCAUCAACCCGAAUGUCCUCCAAGGGUACCACUGCUGAAUCGUCCGCCAGGCACUUUUGCAGCUGAGAAACAUGGAAAGUGUUGUGUAUCUGAUUGAGUUCGGCUGGGAAAUCCAGCCUAUACGCCACCUUGCCCACCCGGGCUAUAACCCUGAACGGUCCAAUGUACCUGGGGCCCAACUUGCCCCGUUUCCUGAAUCGGAUAACGUCUUUCCAUGGCGAUACCUUCAGGAGAACCAUAUCCUCGACCUGGAACUCCAGGUCUGAUCGGCGCUUAUCGGCAUAGCUUUUCUGCCGACUCUGAGUAGUCUGAAGCCUGCUUCGGACCUGCUAAAUCUUCUCUGUCAUCUUGAGCACCACCUCAGUGCUGCACAUUACCCUUUGGCCAACCUCGCCCCAAUAUAUCGGGGUCCUGUACUUCCUCCCAUAUAGCAUCUCGAAAGGAGGACGUUUAAUGCUCACAUGAUAACUAUUGUUAUAGGAGAACUCUGCCAAUGGAAAGUAGGUAUCCCAACUACCCCUGAAGUCUAACAAACAUGCUCGCAACAUAUCCUCCAGGGUUUGGAUGGUCCGCUCGCUCUGACCAUCCAUCUGCGGGUGAAAGGUGGUGCUAAAAUGCAGACGAGUACCCAGCUCGUCAUGAAACUUCUUCCAAAACCUGGAAGUGAACCGCACAUCCCUGUCUGAAAUCACCGAAACUGGCACACCGUGCCGCACCACCACCUCCUGGAUAUAGACGUCGGCCAACUUCUCAGCCGAGAUGCUCUCCUAAAUCCGGAUAAAAUGGGCGCUCUUGGUCAAUCGAUCGAUGAUGACCCAGAUCGAAUCCACUCCCCGCGCGGUCCUGGGAAGCUUGGUGAUAAAAUCCAUCGUGAUGCCUUCCUAUUUCCACAGCAAAAUAUCCAACGGCUGCAUCUUGCCGUGAGGUCUCUGAUACUCAGCCUUGACCUUCCUGUAGGUUAAGCACCGCUCCACGAACCAUGCCACAUCCACUUCAUGCAGGGCCACCAAUAGUCCAGACGAAGAUCCCUAUACAUCUUCGUCGCCCUGGGAUGAAUGGAGAACCGAUAUUUGUGCACCUUCUCCAUCAGAACCUGGCGCGCACCCCCGUGGUAUGGAACCCACACCCUACGAUGUAGUGUCAGUAAUCCUCGGCUGUCAUAGUCGAAGGAGGAAACCUGCCCCAUGAUCCGCUCGCUCUUCUNUCCUUCAUGGCCUCCUACUGGGCCUCCCGAAUCCGCUCCAACAGCAGAGUCACCACUGUCAUCCUCAGGCAGAUACCCCUGAUCGGUGCUGCCUUGCGGCUAAGCGCGUCGGCCACCACAUUGGCCUUCCCUGGGUGAUAAAGGAUCUCGCAAUGGUAAUCCUUUACCACGUCCAUCCACCGACGCUUCCUCAUGUUUAGAUUCGGCUGAUCCAUGAGGUACCUCAAAAUCUUAUGGUCCGUGUAGAUGGUACAGCGAACCCCAUAGAGGUAAUGACGCCAAAUCUUGAGGGCGAAUACAACAGCCCCCAGCUCAAAAUCAUGCGUCAGGUAGUUCGCCUCAUGAGGCUUCAGCUGUCUCAACGCGUAGGCGAUGACAUGCCCUCUUUGCAUCAAUACUGCACCUAAACCUGAGAUGGACGCAUCGCAGUACACAACAAAAUCCCCCAUGCCCUCUGGCAGGGCUAAGAUUAACGCCUCGCACAAUCUCUGUCUCAGUGUCUCGAAUGCGGCCUGUUGCUCAGGCCCCCAAUGAAAGACCAUGGCCUUCCUUGUUAGCCUGGUCAGGGGUACGACUAUCUUGGAGAAAUCCUGGAUGAAUCUCCGAUAGUAGCUGGCUAAUCCUAGGAAACUCCAAAUCUCAGAUGGACACUUCGGAACCUCCCAUCUCAUCACGACCUCCACUUUGGCCGGUUCCACUGAAAUCCCAUUUUGGUUGACGAGAUGCCCAAGGAACUACACCUUGCAUACAAGAUCUCCCUCCUCAAAGUCUCUAGAACCUCUCGCAGAUGCUUCUCGUGCUCCUCCUGCGUCUUGGAGUAAAACAAGAUAUCAUCAAUAAACACUAUCAUAGACCGGUCUAACAUCGGUCUACACACGCGGUUCAUGAGGUCCAUGAACGUGGCAGGAGCAUUAGUGAGCCCUAAGGGCAUCACCACAAACUCGUAGUGGCCAUAGCGCGUCCGAAACGCAGUCUUCUGUACAUCCUCCUCUUUGACCCUCAUCUGAUGAUAUUCUGAACGCAGAUCAAUCUUGGAGAACCAAGAUCCUCCAUAUAGCUAGUCAAAGAGAUCAUCAAUCAUCGGGAGUGGGUAACGGUUCUUCACCGUUACCUUAUUCAGCUCCCGAUAAUCUAUACACAUCCGAUGCGACCCGUCCUUCUUCCUCACAAACAGAAUCGGGGCUCCCCAGGGAGAGCUACUCGAUCUAAUGAAUCCCUUGUCUAGUAGCUCAUGCAGCUGUGUAGACAACUCCUGCAUCUCAUGAGGAGCCAACCGAUACGGUGCCUUGGCUAUCGAAGCUACACUAGGGACUAGGUCGAUCCUGAACUCCACCUGCCUCUUCGGAGGUAUCCCAGGCAACUCCUUGGCAAUACAUCCGUAAACUCUCGUACCACGGGCACAUCACCCACUGUCGCCUUACCCGCCUCCUGGGUGUCCAUGACAUAAGCGACAUAUCCUGCACAACCCUGCUGAAGGUAGUGCCUAGCUCUCGCUGCUGAACAUACCGUUGGCCCUCGCUGUGGCCUCUCGCCCUGAACUACCAACUCUCCCCCACUUGGGGUCUUGAUCCGAACCAGCUGUUGUGCGCAAUCUAUCACUGCCCUAUUGGGGCUCAACCAAUCCAUGCCUAUAAUCACCUUGUUCCCUCUAAACGGGAUAGGAACCAGGUCUACCAGAUAACGCUCCUCGAAUAAUCUCAGCACACACUCUCAGAAUACCGUCGAUGCUCGCACCGAUCGGUCAUCUGCAAUUUCUACCUCUAAAGGGCAAUCCAACAUGCCCGAAGACUCAGGAAACUUCUUGCUUAGCGCAAGAGAGACAAAUGAUCGGGUAGCCCCCGAAUCAAAUAAUACCUGAACUGGGAUACGUUCACAUGGAACGAUCCUAAACAUAGCACAUACAUAACAUAUCAAAAUUACAGUAGUGUAUCAUAAAAGCAUUAAGAUAAGUAAUCAUACCCGUCACCACAUCGGGUGCAGCGCGUGCCUCCUCGGUAGUCAACUGGAAUGCCCGGCUCCUCACCACUAGAGCCUCUGCCUUGCCCUGCCGGCCAUCAGUGAUCUGAAGGGUUGCUAGAGUUGGCGCCUUCACUGGCGCUGAUGCUGCUGUCAACUAGGGGCAGUUGGCCUUCUUGUUGCACCUCUGGUUGCAGUGGAAACAUAGCAACUCAGACAUCUGAAUAACCGGUGCAGGGGAAGUACAAUCCUUGCUAAAGUGCCCCGUCUUGCCACACUUGUAGCAACCCGACAAUCCCAAUCUGCACGCCCCCUCAUGUGGCCUGCCGCAUUUUCUGCAGCAGCCCUAUCCUGAUUGGCCCUUCGACCUACCAUCUGAUCUAUUGGGUUUCUUCCCCGAAGUCUCCAUCGUCUGCCCCUCCUCGGCUUUCCUCUUCCGGACAUGAUCCAAAUCAAUCUCCCUCUCCCUAGCCUUGGAAAUCAUGGAAUCUAAGGUAGGGCAAGCUGAAAAACUAACAUGCUCCCGAAUGUCGGCCCGUAGCAUGUCGUAGUAGCGGGUCCUCCUCAUACCGCAUACUGGGGCACCAACAAUGCCCUCUCCCGGAACAUGGCGGUGAUCUCCGCUACAGUCUUCGUAGUCUGUCUCCAUGUCCAAAAACUCCCCGGCCAGCUGCUGAAGCUCUACCGCUGGCGCAAACUCUGCUCGGAACCGGGUCAUAAAAUCCGACCAUGUCAUAGCCUCAACAAUCGAGGCUCCCAGAGAGUCACCAACCGACUCCCACCAAUCACUAGCCCGGUCCCUCAAACACCCUGUUGCAAAUCGUACCUUCGACCCCUCGGGGCAGAAGCUGGUCAGCUGUGCAGACUCAAUGUCAGCAAUCCAUCGUCUGGCAGCAAUGGGGUCCUUCUCCCCAUGGAAUUUUGGCGCACCACUGCCCCUGAAGUCCUUAAAGGACAGUGUGCGGGAUCCUGACUGGCCAGACACCAUAUCACUCCUAAACGCCGUGAGGCGAACCUCCAUCAGCUCAACUAUCCCUUCCUUGAUCGACCAGAAGAUGAUGGGGGUCGAUUCAAGGAUGCCUCUGGUGAUCUCUGACGCGAUGAACUCGCGUAGCCUCUCAUCUACUAGCUCGGAACCUGAUCUCGAACGCGAUCCCUCUCCUAAACUACCAACUACUGGCCUCUGUCGUAGUACCACCAUUCUACAAAACAUAAUACCAACCGUUAGGGAUACCGAUACCUCUAGAGGGAUCACAUCCACUACAAGUUCCUUGGUCAUAUCUCAGCCUUCCUUAAUUCGGGUAUGGAUCCUCUGCUUUCAGUAGUACGGGCCCAUACUACCUUCCACAUCUAUCUGUACCUUCCUCAAGGUCUGCCUUGACUCUAUCAAGUCCCUUUCACUAUUGUUGAUUCUCUCCUAUUCUCAUUCUAGGCUUGCCCUAGGGAAAAUCUCUAACCCCACCCAAACCGGUCCUCAGCUUCUGAAGGCCUCCUUGUAAUGCCAAUUAGCCAUUACCUGAAUACCAUCACAUGUGAUGAGGCUCAGAUAAUCCUUCGAGAAACAGACUCAUCCCUACAACAGUUAGACUCAGACAAGAGUUGCGCAAUAGGGCCAAAUCCAGCACUCUGAGAUUAUUCAACUCUGACCACAUGUGACAUGAUGUAUUCACCUAAUGGCUAACUCCCAUCACUCAGAGUCCCGCAAAGCACAAAGCAAGCAACAUUCGGAUGCAGGAAAACUAAUCAAGCAAAUAUGUUCUCAUAGUGAGAAACUGUACUAGCAUACAAUGCUAAGCUCAUACUAUCAUGCAUAACCUAAACAUGCUAUCCUACUACUGUCUACUCAAUACUAGCAUGCAAUUCACAUAAGCUGAAGCACAUAAAGUAAGCACAUAAGGCAUCAUUCCUAGAUCCUUAGUCCUAUUCUAGCAUGUUGUUCUACUGAAACUAAUAGACAUAAGAUAACUUGUAUGGGUACUAUGGGGAAUACUUACUUGAGCUCGGCCGGUUGCGCACAUCACACACUUGUUUUUUCUCAAAAACUCUUUUGUCUUAUUCUUUAGAAAACCAUUGUCUUAUAAAAUCUUUUAAUCCCUCAAUUUGAGUCCAGAUACCUCCCGAAGGUGUGUCUGAAUCCCUCAAAUCAGGGCUUUGAUACCGGAUAACUUGUAUGGGUACUAUGGGGAAUACUUACUUGAGCUCGGCCGGUUGCGCACAUCACACACUUGUUUUUUCUCAAAAACUCUUUUGUCUUAUUCUUUAGAAAACCAUUGUCUUAUAAAAUCUUUUAAUCCCUCAAUUUGAGUCCAGAUACCUCCCGAAGGUGUGUCUGAAUCCCUCAAAUCAGGGCUUUGAUACCGACUUGUAACGACCCAAUUUUCAUGUCCAAAACUUUCAAUUUUGAUUAAGUGAUUUUUUAAAACAUUUGUAAAAAAUAUCAACCAAUCAUAUCAUUUCGUAAAAACAUGUCUCGUGUCUGAAAACCGAAUCGUAAAAACAUAAAAAAGUCAGAGUACACAUCCCAGAAUAACUCAUAGUGCGGAAAACAAUGUGUGUGUAUGAUGUACCGCUACCGCGCCAGCUCCUUCCCCUUCGCUGAAGAGAUACCUGAAACCAAAACUGUAACUGUAAGCACGAAGCUUAGUGAGUUCCCCCAUCGUACCACAUACCAUACAAUCAUAUAGCAUACAUACUGCCGGGAAAUUCUGGGUUGCCCGACCAACCCGGUACGGCCAUCCUGGGGUGCCGACCUACCCGUACGGCCAUUCUGGGGUGUCGACCUACCCGUGUCAAGCCAUUCUGGGGUUCUGACCUACCCAUGUCAAGCCAUUCUGGGGUGCUGACCUACCCGUGUCAAGCCAUUCUGGGGUGCUAACCUACCCGUCGGUCCUAACAACUGACUCUCGGGGACUAUUCCACCCCUACUGCUACUAUCACAUAUAUCAUAACAUAAACAUACUAUCAGACAUAUCUGGAGUGUCCGAACUACCCUUCUGUCCUAACAACCGAACUUGGGGACUAUUCCCCUCCUACUACCGCUAUCACAUAUAACAUAUCAUGCCAGCAUAUAAACAUAUAAUCACAUACUGUCAGACAUAUCUUGGGUGCCUGACCUACCCUUCAGUCCUAACAACCGAACUCUACUACUAUCACAUAUAACAUAUCAUGCCAGCAUAAAACAUAUCAGGUAGUAGCAAUCCUAGAUGAUAUCACAAAGACAAUCAUCUAACAUUGUAACAACGUAAAUUUUCAAACAAAUUUUUCAUUUCAAAUUAAAGUAUUUUCAUUCAAAACAAGGCAUAAACAUUCCAAGUGUCAUGUCAAAAUACAAAUCAUAUGAAUCCCAAGAUCACAAAACAUCUAUCAGUGUGUACAGAUCACGCCGGCGCCUUCCCACGGUCCUCGCUAGUACCUGAAACACAUACAUAACAACUGUAAGCAUAAAUGCUUAGUGAGUUCCCCAAAAUACAACUUACGCACAUACGCCUUUCCAGGCCCUGACCUUCCAGUCCAUGUGUCUCAGGGGACUUCCGUCCCUGCUGGGUAAACCUUCCAGUCCUACCCACGUCAACCUUACGGUCCACAUCGCAACGCCUUUCGGCCCAUAUCAAGCACAUCAUACAUGGCACAUAUAACGAAUAACUUAUCACACAUAACACAUAUAUCUCAUAGUAUAUCCGACCUUCCGGUCACACAGACAAACCCUUCCGGGUACAGUAUAGUGAGAAAACUCACCUUGUGGAAAGUCUAAGAUCUCGUGUCCUCGCUAUCACUGAAUCCAAACGACGGCUCAGCCUCGCCUAAACAUAAAAAUAUCAUUUAUUACACAAAGACUUCCACCACUAAAACUUAACCCUUAUCAUCAUUCCUCAGGGGGAAAAGACCAUUUUACCCUUCCUUGACCUAAAGUCCUUAUGUUGACCAAAACCCUAAACGUCAACAAAAGUCAACCCUGAGAGUACGCUGGGCGUACUGCUAGAUGUACGCGGGGCGUACAUUGCGAACCCCCCUUGGAUCGGGGUCUCCACCCAGUAUGCUGCGCGUACUGGAAGUUACGCCCAGCGUAACCACAAGAAUCAGCCACCCUCCAUAUCUGGUCUUAAUCGGUUAAGCCAUUACUACACCUUCUAGAUCCGACCUUUUUAGUGUGUCUAAACCCAUAAAGUCGAGACCUUUAAGCCUUGGCAUGGCUGUAAAGGCUCCAACAUCACAUAACAACCUUUUAUUCAAACUCAAGGACCUAGAUCUCAUGCAUGGUACCCACGUCCAAGAUGCCAUUUUUAUGAGUCUACAACUCCAAUAGAUCAGAAAUAUGAAGUAUCUAAGCUCAUGGAGGCCGUUUGCACAAAAAGUCUCCACCUUUGGGGCUUAAACCCUAGAAAAUGACAUCUUAAGCAUAUAACAUGAACCAAGUGACAAGAUCCGAAAGUUUUACCUGAAAAUGAAGCUUUAACCCUUGCAAAGCUCAGAUCUACACUUGAGCACCAAUUCUUGCCUCUCCAACAAGCUCUUCUUCUCCUUUGCAACCUUGGAAUGGCACCACCAAGCUUAGAAUACACACAUAAUGGCCAAAGAACGAAGGUACAUUCUUUUUAGGGUUUCACUCUGAGGGAUGGUGGCUGAGAAGUCCAGCCACACAUUCCUUUUAUAGCCCCUCCAAAGGAAAUUAGGGUUUGGAUCUGANUUCAAUAAACCCUAAAUCCAUAUACACAUCAACAUAGAAGGGAUCAACUCGAAAUUAUUACCUGAAUAACGUUGCUCUGUGUCCCCAACCCUCAGAAUAUGGCUUUUUCUUUUGUUCCCUUAACCCAGCCUCCUCCUCCUUGCAAAAUAACACUUCCAAGAUCAAUAAUGGUCUUCUACCUUGCUCCAGAUGCUCACAAUCGAAUUAGGGUUUCACUCACAGGACUAGGGUGAACAAUGACGGCCAUAAGGCCUCUUAUAUGUGUCUCAAACCUGAACGGUUAGGGUUUCGCUAAACAGCGCGGACUCGCCGAGUCCAGUCGCGAACCAGCGACCAGAUCCGCGAUCCUACUCGGCGAGUCUGAGCUCCAACUCGCCGAGUCCCCUCUUAAAGCACCCAAAAUCAUAAAUAUAACAAUACCUGGAAUUCCAGGCUGUUACAAACAUACAACUCCUACUGGUGGGCCAACAUUGUGGCCGUAGACCCACCGCUACUGGAAGGUAACUCACCUCGUAGUAGCUGCUGAUCUGUGCGAGAAUCUUCUGACUGCUGCCGCUGCUGCUCCGAAAAUCCUCCGACUAUAAUUCCCACAAACUCUUAGUCAUACACUGCUAACUGUUCUUAGGGUAAAAUGACCAUUUUACCCCUGACCAAGUCAAAGUCAAAGUCAACUUCCAGUUGACGUGACUCGCAGAGUUGGUUCACCAACUCGCCGAGUCCCUAUCCUUCCAUUUGUCAUUAUACUUGUCUCUACUCGUCAAGUUAGGCGAUGACUCGACGAGUUUUCUAUCUAAUUGAACAUUGGCUGAAUCUUCAUCGGACUCGCCGAGUUGUAUGAAAGCCUCGUCUAGUUCAUCUUCAACUGAUACACAUGUCAUAUCCUUGACUCGCCGAGUUGUAUGAACAACUCGUCGAGUUCAUCUUCAUCCUUAACAAGAUUGCCUUGGACUCGCCGAGUCUGAUCAUGCACUCGCCGAGUCCCAUGAAUUUCAAGUACAAUGGCUUAGUCUAGAACGUUGGGUCACUCCCCGGGACUCCCUAAAACCUUUCCACACUUAACUGGGUCCUUUUGACCCUCAAUUGAUAUGGGACAAAACCUUGGACUCGCCGAGUCCAGGAAUGGACUCGUCGAGUCGGCCACAUCCUCUCGCUAAAUCUUCGAUUUCUGAUGUACAACCCUUGAUCAAAAGAUAGAUCUGUGCUUCUACAAUCGAUCUAGCGCAUAAAGUUACAACCUUUAUGUGGUUACAUUGGACUUUGAGCUCAAAAGGUCCUAAAACAAGCUUUUACAAUGCAUGGGGCCUUCUUUGAGUGCAAAAGCCACUCCUUUUUGCCUUGUAACCCCUUUAAGGACCUAGAUCUGAAACAUCAACCCCUAACCAUGCUUGCAAUCAUGGUUGGUGACCAAAAUGGCUUAGAAAAGCCCUAAAACUCCACAAAAUGUGAUCUAUCAAAAGAACAAACAAGGUAUAGACUUUACACCUUCUGUAGACUGCAAUUGAUGCUCAAAAUCGGAUCCUUCUAGCCUCCUCUUGAUCCUUCAAGCUUUUCCUUCCUUCCUUGGAUCACAAAAGCACCAAAAUCACUCCAAAUGCCUUAGAUUGCUUCAAUAACGGCUAGGGUUUGCUAUGGGUGUCUUUUGUGAGAAAAUGGGACGAAGGAGGCUGAGUUAAGGUGUUUAAAUAGGGUGCAAACCCUCGGGUUAGGGUUUUUGUCCAGACAGGGCCUACUCGUCGAGUCCGGGACCCGACUCGUCGAGUCCACUAGUUAAACCCCGCGUCUCAUCCCGCUUCUACUCGGCAAGUUGGUCCUUCAACUCGCCGAGUCCAAGGCCAAAAUGCAAAAUAUUUUAAAGAAUUAAUAAAAGAAUACGUACCAAGAACCAGGUGCUACAGACACCAAACCCGUUGUAGUGAGUUUCAAACAACUCUUGCCAUGCAUCAUAGUUGAGUUUGUCGAGAUCCAUAAUAAGAGGGAUGAAUGCCUCAAUGUUUGAGACACCAUAAGGUUUCUCAGAGGCAAUAGUGGACGAGUUGUUCAGUGACUACUUCUUAUCGCCAACCAUGGAAAACAGGGGAGAAGAUAAAAGAACGAUGAGAUGAGAGGGAGAAGACUUCCCCAGAAGAAAAAAAUUGACGGCUAGGGUAGAGAGGGUAAGGAAUAGAUCAGGGGCUCUGAUACCAUGUAACAAACUAUUAUGAAUUGAUUUUCAUUGCCUUCUCAUCUCAUUAAAGCAAAUAUAUAGUACAAAUACAAGACAAAAGGACUGAACACAACACAACAUAAAUAUUGGGCCAAGCUUGCUAAAAUAUAAACAUAAUACACUAACAAAACAUUUUAUUAUAAUUUUUUUCUAUCAAUUUUUAUUAAAUUUUUUUUUAUAAACACCAUAAUAACCAAUAGAUUUUUAAAAUAAACCAACAAACAUUUUAUGAAUCUAAACCAGCAAAUACGAUCAUCUACUCUAGUUCACCAUGUGAAUUCAUAUUCACACUGUGAAUCUGCAUAGAUUCACACUGUGAACUUGACGAGUUUUUUAUUAUUUUGAUAUCAUAGGAAAAAUAAUAAAAAGUUAUAAAUUUCUAUAUUUUUAUUUUUUUUUAAUAAUAAAACAAGCUUAAAAUGUUGAAAAAAAAUUGGUUUUUUAGUUAAUCAUGGUUCUUUAUUGAACCUCAUUGUGUGUAUAUAUAUAUAUAUAAUGAGGUUCAAUAGAGAACCAUAAUUAACCAAAGAACCAAUUAUUAACAAGGAAGCAAAAUCGUGAACGUAGAAACUUGAAGCGAUCAACGGCCAAGGAAAUAGAUAUAUAUUUGUAUAUUAGACGCACAUACACCGGAUUAUAUACUAUAAAACCAACUCUUUACAAAAAAAACACACCUCUUUUUUUUGGCUUAANNNNNNNNNNNNNNNNNNNNNNNNNNNNNNNNNNNNNNNNNNNNNNNNNNNNNNNNNNNNNNNNNNNNNNNNNNNNNNNNNNNNNNNNNNNNNNNNNNNNNNNNNNNNNNNNNNNNNNNNNNNNNNNNNNNNNNNNNNNNNNNNNNNNNNNNNNNNNNNNNNNNNNNNNNNNNNNNNNNNNNNNNNNNNNNNNNNNNNNNNNNNNNNNNNNNNNNNNNNNNNNNNNNNNNNAUAUAUAUAUAAUUUGUGAAUCUCUCACAUGAUCUACUAAACAAAACAAUGCAAUAGGGAUGAGCAAAAGGACCGAACCGGCGCGACGGUUCUACUGGUUCCCGGUUCCUACCGAUUCUUGUCGUGUCUUCAAAUGUUGGAACCGCUCCUUGAAAAAUAGCAUCAUAUGAUUCCGUUUUUUGUCGGUUCUACCGGUUUUUGCCAGUUNUCCCGGUUCCAAAAAUCAACAAACAUAACUUUCCGGUCCCGGACCGACCGGUUCCAUUGGGUUCCGGUUCCGGCCGGUUCCCCGGUCCAUAUGCUCAUCCCUACAAUGCAAAAAAUAAAAAAAGUGUGUUUGCGAACACGGAUUUUUUUACUAGUUAAUAUAAAGCCAAAUGUAUUUGUAUAUAAUUUCAAUAAUAAAAAAAAAUAAAAAAACUAAAAAAACUAAAUUACUUAUAUAAGAGUACAUAGAUACAAUAAUAUUAUAUAAAAAUCGAAUAAAAUAAUAUAAAUCAGAAAAAAUAGGACCAAAUUGGUGAUGUAUCUUGCUUAUGACAUUCAUUAAGGGGCGGCUAUGGUUUAGAUAAAGUUUGAAAUCCUUGUCAAAUGUAUGAACUCUAGUUCCUGGUAUUUGCAUGUUAUCUACUAUCCACCUACUUUUCUUUAAAAAUAUAUUGUAAUAUUAGACAUCAACGUCAAAAUUAUUUUUAUUCUUGUGGAUUCUACAAUAUUAUGAUUAAAUAUCUUUUUACGUACCGACCCUGUUGUUUUUUCAUUCAAUGUUUAUGUAAAAAAUAGACAAUAUAUGCGAUUAUGUUUUAGUCUAGAGUCAAAAUACACUAACAUUUUAAAUAUAAGUUACAUGUAAAAUGUUGUAACAUGAUAUAGUUUGUUUAAAACGGGUUAGAGCAAUUGUUACAUUCAUAGCCGAUCCAAACAUAUUUCAAGUGCAAGACAAAAACAAUCAAUUAAAAAUGUCAUAUCGCCAAAAACAAAAUCAUGUUUAACUCAGGAAUGUUAAAAAAGAACCGAAAGCUGACAAAAAAAAAUCUAAAAAGAUCCAAAAAUCCAAAUUAUUUUGAGAAACCGCGUGGUUUUUAGGCAUAAAAAGCCAUAUGUUAUGUUCAACUUGGUUUUUCCUUUUAUGUUUAUAUGUAAAAGGAAAAAGAUAUAUAUAUAUAUAUANNNNNNNNNNNNNNNNNNNNNNNNNNNNNNNNNNNNNNNNNNNNNNNNNNNNNNNNNNNNNNNNNNNNNNNNNNNNNNNNNNNNNNNNNNNNNNNNNNNNNNNNNNNNNNNNNNNNNNNNNNNNNNNNNNNNNNNNNNNNNNNNNNNNNNNNNNNNNNNNNNNNNNNNNNNNNNNNNNNNNNNNNNNNNNNNNNNNNNNNNNNNNNNNNNNNNNNNNNNNNNNNNNNNNNNNNNNNNNNNNNNNNNNNNNNNNNNNNNNNNNNNNNNNNNNNNNNNNNNNNNNNNNNNNNNNNNNNNNNNNNNNNNNNNNNNNNNNNNNNNNNNNNNNNNNNNNNNNNNNNNNNNNNNNNNNNNNNNNNNNNNNNNNNNNNNNNNNNNNNNNNNNNNNNNNNNNNNNNNNNNNNNNNNNNNNNNNNNNNNNNNNNNNNNNNNNNNNNNNNNNNNNNNNNNNNNNNNNNNNNNNNNNNNNNNNNNNNNNNNNNNNNNNNNNNNNNNNNNNNNNNNNNNNNNNNNNNNNNNUUAUUUAAUAUAUUAAUACAAAUGUCUAAAAAUUAACAAAAUAACUCAAAAUUUCGGAUUUAUUUUCAAAAAAAUAAUAAUAAUUUUCAAUUUUUUUAAAAAAUGGAGAUUUUUUUAUUUUUUUUUUUCCAAAAAACAUGAAUUUUCAAAAAAAAAAUAUUUUUUAAAAAACUCAUUUUUUCUAAAAAAAAGUUGUAUUUUUUUUCAAAAAAACUUCAUUUUUUUCCAGAAAAAUUGCAUUUUUUUCAAAAAAAUAAAAAAUAAAAACGAUUUUUAUAGAAAAGUGCAAUUUUUUUCAAAACUGCAUUUUUUAACAAAAAAAUCAACGUUUUAGGUGCAUAUAUGCAUAUUUUUUCAAAUGCAUAUAUGCAUAUUUCUUAUAGUAUAAUUUUCGUAAGAAAAUUAUAAAAAAUCAUAUUUUUAUUAAUCAAUCUAUAAACAUAAUACAAGUAUUUUUAUUCGAUACAAAAUAAAAUAUAAAAAAACUACAAAGAUUCACAGUGUUAUCAUUUCUUCAUAUCAAGAUUUCCAUAUUUUCUUCAAUUUAUCAUUUUUCACAUCUUCAAUAUUUUCCAAAAAUUCUUCAAAAUCUACAAGAAAAAAAAUUGAUUAACGCAAGAACACACAUGUAUAUAUCAUGUAAGAUUCACAUGUGAUUAUAUAAUGUGAUAUUCAUAUGUGAUUGUAUCUUUUAAGAUCUAAAUAUGAAAUUCACAAGAAAAUUUUAAAAAAUAAUUAACGAAGAACACUUACACAAAAUGCAUGUGUGCAUAUAGACGUAAUUCAUAUGUGAUUAACUUGUGAAUCAGAUGUAAUUCAUAGGUAAUUCACUUGUAAUUUACAUGUGAAUCACAUGUAAUUGAUAUGUGAUUCACUUGUGAUUUACAUAUGAAUUACAUGUGAUUUACAUAUGAAUCACAUAUAAUUCAUAUGUGAUUAACUUGUGAAUCAGAUGUAAUUCAUAGGUAAUUCACUUGUAAUUUACAUGUGAAUCACAAAUUAAUCAUAUGUGCAUUACAUGUGAAUCACAUGUAAUUCGUAUGUGAAUUACAUGUUAUUUACAUGUGAAUCACAUGUAAUUCAUAUGUGAUUUACACGUGAAUCACAUGUAACUCAUAUUUACAUGUGAAUCAUAUGUGAAUUACAUGUGAUUAAAAUGUGAAUCAUAUGUGAAUUACAUGUUAUUUACAUGUAAAUCACAUGUAAUUCAUAUGUGAUUCACUCGUGAUUUACAUCACAUAUAAAUUACAAGUGAAUCACAUGUAAUUCAUAUGCGAUUCACUUGUGAUUUACAUGUGAAUCUGUCACACCCCCGAACCGUCACAAAACAAUGGUGGAAACGUCCGGGAGCGGUUGACGUCAUGCGUAGUAUCACAACCGUUGUAUCAUAGCAAGCAAAGUAAACACAACCAUUACAUUACAAUCUGAUUAUUUACAUCUGUUUGAAAACAUAGUUUGUACAUAACAGUAUAUAAUAAAGGUAAAAGACGUGACUCCAAAAUGCCCUGUCUUCUCCAAAAAUUGGCAAGAGUACCUGUCUAUUGUUGCCCUGAGAAUACAAGCAGUUUGAAAGAGUAUCAACAUAAAGCUGGUGAGUUCAUAAGUAUUUAGUUUUGGUGAAAAAUGUUUCUUUGAUCCUUUGAAAAGUGUUUCCCAAGAAAAUCCUAUAUUUUCUUAUAGAAAGUGUGUUUGAACAUCCAUUAGUUACUUGUUGAACAAUCUGCUUAUAAGAAAUCGAGUUAUCCUGGGAAAAUCCCAUAUUUUCCCUGAAAAGUUGAUGAUUGGUUAUCGGUUCUAGUCUGAGGUGUACAGGUAUCUACUAUACUUAUAUCGUUAGACGUAGUUUUCUUGAAAAACCAUGUUUGCUCCCUGUGAGGUGUAUUAGCCUUAGUACAUAAAUAAAACUAAUAAAUAUGUGGUGAACUAAAUCCUAAGGGUAUUAUUAAUACCCUCUAGUAAUCAAAUCGUUUAUUACUUUGAGGUUAGUUUACUUGUUUCAUUAUUACAAAAGUAAAUAUUUGUUAUCUAGGUUGCGAGUUUUAUAACUAUACAUUAACUUGAUAUGGCACGUAACGGGGCCAGUAUCCGUUAUGACUUUGUCACUCCAGGCAUGGUUGUCUAACUGUAGCUAGCAGUUUUGGUGCGGGAUAGUCAGUCUCGUAUAGAUUUAUACACAACAGUCACGUUCUCUGUACAAGAGAUUCUGGUUACAAGUGCUAGUCCUACACUCUCGAAUUCGGUGGGAGUAUUACCAAGGACGUGUCUCCAACAUUUAGACUAACAAAUUUACAAGUAAUAAUACAGAAAAUCAUGUUUACGAUUUGCAUGAAUCUCUUAUAAAAUAAUAUAUUUUACAACGUGAUUCACAAGUUAGUUACCCUAGUUUUGAAAACUGUUUCUACGAGCUGAUUUCUCAAUCGUUUGGUAAAACUGUUUUCCACGUUAAAAGCAUACUGAAAAUAUAAUUAUCUUAGAAAAAGUAAUAUAUUUUGAGCCAAGUUCCCUUGUACUUUUACUUGUUUCCCCCCUGAAAAUAUGAAAACUUGGAAAAAUGUAGGAGUAUGAACUCACUGUUUUUUUGCAUUUUAAAAAUAACAUUUGAAUAUUUACACCUUGUUUUGUGAUCCUCAGCAUCCCAGUCACAAAGCCUGAAGGGCACACUCGAGAUUGAAACAUGCCAUUGAACAGUUCAAUGAAUCUCAAAGAUCUAGGAGUUUUAAAACCAAUUAAAACCUAAUAAUACAUUUCGUUUAUCUUGGUGGAAAUUGGUGAAUCGUCAUUCACCUACCUUCAAAUAUUUUAUAGCUUGGAUUACGGCAUACCUCUUCUAAGUUAUAAAAUAGUUUGUUGGGUCCUAGCCUUAAUAUUUCAUAUUGGGUGUCAUAUUAAGGACUUAAGAUCAACUAUCUUGAAUAUCUCCCAAAAGAUGACUGGUUUAGACAUUUAUGAUCUUCCCAAAUCUCUUGAAACAAGCUUUCCUAAAUGAAGAUGAUGUCCCAUGGAAAUCAUACUUCUUUCACCUCCUCCAAUUAUUCUCCCUAACCCACAAGUUCUUGAAAAGUUUAAGGUCACUCAAUCCCUAUUGGCAAGGAAAGGUCUAGGUGUGAUCACAUCUUGGAGAUGUAGUCAAAUAUUGACAAUCCGGGAGAGUUGGGUGUCAAAGUCUUGUGAAAGUUGGUAGUUCAAUCACUUUCUAAGUCACAUAGUGAGUUCCUUUGGGACACCUAUGAAACAGACUAUGACAAGACCCUUAAUGAUCUUAUCUAUUUGUUAAGCUCAACUUCCUUAAAACUUGAUGGACAUUGACAAUAGUGACACAGGAAAUCCAGAAAAACAUUCUCUUCCCAAUGGAAAGGGAUCGGCCAUAAUCAACUCGGUUGACCAUAUGGUAAAGAGAAAAGCUAAGUCUGUGAUAGUCCCGUGUACCAUUACCAAAGGGUCCAUAUGUUUAUAUUGCCAAAGGAAGGGUC
rnacentral:lncRNA from 1 species